rnacentral:rRNA from 1 species
GACGAACGCUGGCGGCGUGCUUAACACAUGCAAGUCGAACGGAAAGGCCCUGCUUUUGUGGGGUGCUCGAGUGGCGAACGGGUGAGUAACACGUGAGUAACCUGCCCUUGACUUUGGGAUAACUUCAGGAAACUGGGGCUAAUACCGGAUAGGAGCUCCUGCUGCAUGGUGGGGGUUGGAAAGUUUCGGCGGUUGGGGAUGGACUCGCGGCUUAUCAGCUUGUUGGUGGGGUAGUGGCUUACCAAGGCUUUGACGGGUAGCCGGCCUGAGAGGGUGACCGGCCACAAUGGGACUGAGAUACGGCCCAGACUCCUACGGGAGGCAGCAGUCGGGAAUAUCGAACAAUGGGCGGAAGCCUGAUGCAGCAACGCCGCGUGCGUGAUGACGGCCUUCGGGUUGUAAACCGCUUUCGCCUGUGACGAAGCGUGAGUGACGGUAAUGGGUAAAGAAGCACCGGCUAACUACGUG